rnacentral:rRNA from 1 species
AGCCUGCCCAAUGAAAAUUUAAAUGGCCGCGGUAUUCUGACCGUGCAAAGGUAGCAUAAUCAUUAGUUUUUUAAUUGAAAGCUUGAAUGAAAGGUUUGAUGAAAAAAUUUCUGUUUCUUUAAAAGUUUACUAGAAUUUUAUUUUUAGGUUAGAAAGCCUAAAUUUUUAUGAAAGACGAGAAGACCCUAUAGAGUUUUACAUUUAAAUUUAAUUGAAGUUAAAAGAAACAGAAAUUUUAUUUUAUGGAAAGUGUUAUGUUGGGGUGAUAGAAAAAUUGGAUAAACUUUUUUUAUGUUUAAACAUUUAUGUGUGAUUUUUUGAUCCUAAGUUUUAGAUUAUAAGAUUAAAUUACCUUAGGGAUAACAGCGUAAUUUUUUUUAGAGUUCUUAUCGAAAAAAAAGAUUGCGACCUCGAUGUUGGAUUAAAGUGAAUCAUAGGUGAAGAAGCUUAUUGAUUGGGUCUGUUCGACCUUUAAAAUUUUACAUGAUCUGAGUUUAAACCGGUGUGAG